rnacentral:rRNA from 1 species
ACAGCAGUAGCCGCGGUAAUACGGAGGGAGCUAGCGUUGUUCGGAAUUACUGGGCGUAAAGCGCGCGUAGGCGGUUACUCAAGUCAGAGGUGAAAGCCCGGGGCUCAACCCCGGAACUGCCUUUGAAACUAGGUGACUAGAAUCUUGGAGAGGUCAGUGGAAUUCCGAGUGUAGAGGUGAAAUUCGUAGAUAUUCGGAAGAACACCAGUGGCGAAGGCGACUGACUGGACAAGUAUUGACGCUGAGGUGCGAAAGCGUGGGGAGCAAACAGGAUUAGAUACCCCGGUAGUCCCUGUCUCUUAUAA